AUUGCAUUGGAGGGGUUGCCUGACAAAGGUUUUGUUGUGGUUCCCAGGCGGUGCCUUCGAGACUGGCUCAGCCUCCAUCUUCGAUGGGUCCUCCCUGGCUGCCUAUGAGGACAUGCUGGUUGUGAUCGUCCAGUACCGGCUGGGAAUAUUUGGCUUCUUCACCACAUGGGAUCAGCACGCUCCCGGGAACUGGGCCUUCAAGGACCAGGUGGCUGCUCUAUCCUGGGUCCAGAAGAACAUCGAGUUCUUCGGUGGGGACCCCAGCUCUGUGACCAUCUUUGAUUCUGUCUCCCAUGGCCGAAGGCUUAUUCCACAAAGCCGUCAUGGAGAGUGGGGUGGCCAUCAUCCUUUACCUGAAGGCCCAUGAUUAUGAGAAGAGUGAGGACGUACGAAUACUGUUAACACCUUGCUAGCUUCCUCUCCUCAGUUAGGGGAGAAUGUGUUCAGGCACCUUCUCACCAUGUGCCAUCUAUCCCACGAUAUUUGUCAUCUGUCUCUUAAUUAUCUACUACAGAGUGAGGCCCUAGAGACCAGGAUCUCUCUGUCCUUCAGGCCCCCAGCAUAAUAAGUGGUAUAUAUCAGGCAGCUAUAAAUGUUCUGGAUGAAUGAGCUAAUGAAUGAGCUGUUUCAUUCAAUGCAUAUUAAUUAA
ensembl:lncRNA novel transcript